AUUCUCAGAGGGCGGAGCCAGAGAGCAGCGAUUGGUCAGACCAUAGAUACAUAGAGAAGACAGCGCGCUAGCAUGUCUAGUCUUCUAUGUAUGGUAGCAUCUCUGGCUGCUGUUGACCUUGUUUGUGGAGUAAAGCAUGGUGGAAGCUGAAUUAGUGAGGAUGACUCCUGCUCCUGUCAUCUCUAAGCUCCUCCCACAUCUUUACCUGCACAUGAGGAAAAUCACUCCUGUAGAAUGCAGAUGUUCAGAGGGAGAUGAUGCCACAUCUGGUCCAGCUGAUGGAAGGUCUUGAAGUUCUCUGACUGGCCUGGACUGAAGAUGGUCGUCUCACUGGAUUUAAGGUUCAGAUGCUCAGUAACAAACUCCACCAAUGUGCCAACAGGGAAGCUUUAGGUUUAUUAAAUGUUGCUAUGAAGGUAUCACUGUUUUUCUUUGUGAAUGCAAUGUGCUCCAACUGAAACUUGAAUUAGAACUUAGAAGUAAAUCAUUUCAUCUGAAAGGAUUUAGUUGCAUUAAUAACCUCAUAACAUUCUAAUUUUUAUUCCAGUCUUGGUUGGAAAUAGAAUCUCUGUAUUGAUUCAGGUAAAAACUGAACUUAACAGCAUGUUGGAGCAAAACAACCAGAUGAAAACUGUGAUGGUGUUGGAUUGUCAGACCGUAAUGUUGCAGCUCAAAGCAGCUUUUCUAGCUCAGUUCAUUCUGACAUUCAGCUAUGAAUCAACACAGCAGAUGGUGAUCCAUGCUGUGGAAGUCUCACAUCUCCUGAUUUAAUGGAGCUGCUUUGCACUUUUUACACUGUUUAUUCACCAACACUUUAUUUAAUAAAAGUCCCAUCUAGUUUUUAUGAGGAAUGUGAUGUUUUAAUUUCUCUGUGAAUAACUGCAGUCUAAUGCAACAGCUGGAAUUGUAACAUCUGUCCUGAUAUUGAUCAUGAAGUAUUGAUCAGAAUACUUAUGGUUAGCAGUCAUCCCUGAAGUUUUACAUUGAAAUCUUUACUUGUGUUGUGAACUUUGGUAAGAAGCAGAAACGUUAGCGUUGCCAUGGAUACAGGAGUGUUAAAUUCUGUCCAUGUUUCCAUUUUGGGAAAUUCAGUCCAGUUCCAGAAUGUGGAGGAAUUUAGUCUCAUAAUCACAGACAACAAAUAUUAUCUGAAAGUCGAGUUAUUGUUGUUUAUCAGCACAAUACAAAAAGAUUAAUGUUAGAAAUAUUCCAGUUAAGACUCUAGAAUAUCAUGAUUUAUGUAAAAUUUACCUCAAUAAUAUGAAUGUUCAGGUUAAGAUUGUACAGUGAUAUUUAUUAUGUAAGUUUAGCUGAUUAAAGUUUGACUCUGCACUAAAAUAUCAUUUAAAUUUACAUCAUUAUUAUAAUAUUUAGGGUCAGACCCUACAGUAUUGAGAUUAAGAAAUUAAAUAUUCUACAAAAUGUAAAUACACUGAACUCAUUUGGAUAUAUUUAAGUGAGACUUUACAAUAUUAUUUGACACAAAUCUAUCUAAAUCAAAAUUUUAAUAAUUUUUACUCCAACCUUUUACUGGACUGAUUUAAAUAUUAAAAUCACGCCUUUCUAAUCCUCUGCUGUACGUUCAAACCUGAGGCCUUAAAUAGAAACACACAAGUAUCUGUUUGAAGGAACUUCUGCAGAGUCCUGGUUCCAGAACAUGAUGAUAGAAUUAUAGACAAACUUUAACAAAAGCUGCCUGAGAGUUUACAGGUUUUUAUGUUAAAUUUCUUCAGUAAUUUAAUGAGCGUUAUCAGCAAUAAUCAAGGGUUCAUUUGAUGAACUUCAUUUCCUAAAACAUCCGGAAUUGGAGCUCAUAUCUUUGUCAGCUGUAAAGUUUCUGCUCCUUCAAAGUUCACAACACAAUGAAUGAAUUCCUAAAACACUCUCAAUGCUGGAGAACGUUUGUGAUGCUGAAGCAGUGAUCAGUUUUUCUGUUUCUUCUCUGGAGAUGCACAAUGAGGGACGUCUGCAGAGACUGAGAAAGAGUCUCACCACAUCCUGACAUGAGGAAAAAGACUUUAUUGAAGACUACAAUGAGAAAAACUAUCAGACAGCAGACGGCUGCAUUCAAGUCUGUAGCUGCUGAAUUCAUGGAUGAAUCAUCUGGCACUAGAGAAGAAGACCAUCAAACAUCCACGUCAGCUGAUGGAGGUCCAAGAGUCUCACCAAACAAACAACCUACAGAGUGAAGACCUCAAAUCUGAUUGGAUGGCCUCCUAUUCAGCCACAUGUGUGAACAAAUGCCUCUAAGCUGAUUUAUUUUCUAAAAUAAAUCUAGUUUGAGUCCUAAUCUAUGCCUGUGUGUUUGCUUCUUUACACUGCUGUUAACAGUUUAGGCUGUUAGAUUGUUCCAGAUAAGACAAGUACAAGAUACUUCAGAGCCGUUCUACCACGAGCCUGACAGGAAGAACUCCAACAGCUACUGAAUGUUCCUGUGGUCCCUUCAAGGCUACAGGAGGAGCCCUAUGAGGACGAGCCGGUCCACCUGAUGGAGGCCAGUCGCUGUGGUUCAAAGCCAACACCAACUACGUGGACUUCUACUGGACCACAUGGAGGCCUUCAAACCGGACCAACAAGUUCAGCGACUCCCCGACUCGUGGGUCUGAGGACGCCGCCGAGCCUCGGUCCAGCCGGCCGCCUGUCUGUGGGUGUUUGAGUGCUGAGAGGUUUGUGGAUGCAUGUGAACGUAUCUGUGUUGAAACAGCAGCUUUUGACUCAGUAACACCAGGAAAAACCAAGAG
ensembl:lncRNA